UGGCGUCUAAAACCCUCGGGAUGGUUCUCAAUGAAGUCCCUUUACCUGGCCAUUGCUCCCUCUCCGGCCCCUGAGCCGUUUAGCCUGAUUUGGGACAUCCGCAUGCCGCUGAAGAUUAGAAUCUUCUUGUGGUAGUGGAUUCGGGGCCGCCUCCCCUCUGGGGUUGAGGUCCUAAAGCGCAAUGACCCGGGAGAAGGGAUGUGUCCCUUGUGUGGCACGGUGGAGGACGCCAACCACAUCUUCUUCUCCUGCGUUACAACCCAAUUCCUGUGGGCCUGCUUCCACGAUAUGAUCGGUGGUCGGUGGUACAAGACCAACUUCCAGGACCUGCUGGUGGAAAUCCACGCCUCCGCCCGCCGCCACCGCCACAUCAAGUGGCUGUGCGUGGGGGUCCUUGCCUGGACGCUUUCGACCAUCCGCAACAAGCUUGUCAUCCAAAGAACGCCUAUACGACGUGCGACUGGCGCAAUCUUCAAAAUGUGUGGUUACUUGCAACUUUGGCGGCCGCUUUGCCGCGCCUAG
rnacentral:rRNA from 1 species